CUCUAGUGACCGAUAGUGAACCAGUACCGUGAGGGAAAGGUGAAAAGCACCCCGGAAGGGGAGUGAAAUAGAACCUGAAACCGUGUGCUUACAAGUAGUCAGAGCCCGUUAAUGGGUGAUGGCGUGCCUUUUGUAGAAUGAACCGGCGAGUUACGAUUUGAUGCAAGGUUAAGCAGUAAAUGUGGAGCCGUAGCGAAAGCGAGUCUGAAUAGGGCGUUUAGUAUUUGGUCGUAGACCCGAAACCAGGUGAUCUACCCUUGGUCAGGUUGAAGUUCAGGUAACACUGAAUGGAGGACCGAACCGACUUACGUUGAAAAGUGAGCGGAUGAACUGAGGGUAGCGGAGAAAUUCCAAUCGAACCUGGAGAUAGCUGGUUCUCUCCGAAAUAGCUUUAGGGCUAGCCUCAAGUGAUGAUUAUUGGAGGUAGAGCACUGUUUGGACGAGGGGCCCCUCUCGGGUUACCGAAUUCAGACAAACUCCGAAUGCCAAUUAAUUUAACUUGGGAGUCAGAACAUGGGUGAUAAGGUCCGUGUUCGAAAGGGAAACAGCCCAGACCACCAGCUAAGGUCCCAAAAUAUAUGUUAAGUGGAAAAGGAUGUGGCGUUGCCCAGACAACUAGGAUGUUGGCUUAGAAGCAGCCAUCAUUUAAAGAGUGCGUAAUAGCUCACUAGUCGAGUGACACUGCGCCGAAAAUGUACCGGGGCUAAACAUAUUACCGAAGCUGUGGAUUGUCCUUUGGACAAUGGUAGGAGAGCGUUCUAAGGGCGUUGAAGCAUGAUCGUAAGGACAUGUGGAGCGCUUAGAAGUGAGAAUGCCGGUGUGAGUAGCGAAAGACGGGUGAGAAUCCCGUCCACCGAUUGACUAAGGUUUCCAGAGGAAGGCUCGUCCGCUCUGGGUUAGUCGGGUCCUAAGCUGAGGCCGACAGGCGUAGGCGAUGGAUAACAGGUUGAUAUUCCUGUACCACCUAUA
rnacentral:rRNA from 1 species